CCUACGGGAGGCAGCAGUAGGGAAUCUUUCACAAUGGGCGAAAGCCUGAUGGAGCAACGCCGCGUGCAGGAUGAAGGCCUUCGGGUUGUAAACUGCUUUUAUAAGCGAGAAAUAUGAUGGUAUCUUAUGAAUAAGGAUCGGCUAACUACGUGCCAGCAGCCGCGGUCAUACGUAGGAUCCGAGCAUUAUCCGGAGUGACUGGGUGUAAAGAGUUGCGUAGGUGGGAUAAUAAGUAGCUAGUGAAAUCUGGUGGCUCAACCAUUCAGACUAUUAGCUAAACUGUUAAGCUCGAGACCGUUAGGAGUAAAUGGAAAUUCUAGUGUAGGAGUGAAAUCGGGAGAAAUUAGAAGGAAAACCAAGAGCGUAGGCAGGUUGCUGGGACGGUUCUGACACUAAGGCACGAAAGCGUAGGGAGCAAACGAGAUUAGAUACCCUUGUAGUC
rnacentral:rRNA from 1 species